CUCCUACGGGAGGCAGCAGUAGGGAAUCUUGCGCAAUGGGCGAAAGCCUGACGCAGCAACGCCGCGUGAGGGAUGAAGGCCUUCGGGUUGUAAACCUCUUUCAGUGGGGACGAAGCGAAAGUGACGGUACCCACAGAAGAAGCCCCGGCCAACUACGUGCCAGCAGCCGCGGUAAUACGUAGGGGGCGAGCGUUGUCCGGAUUUAUUGGGCGUAAAGAGCUCGUAGGCGGCUUAGCAAGUCGGCCGUGAAAGUCCGAGGCUCAACCUCGGAACGCCGGUCGAAACUGCUAUGGCUAGGGUCCGGUAGAGGAGAGUGGAAUUCCCGGUGUAGCGGUGAAAUGCGCAGAUAUCGGGAGGAACACCAGUAGCGAAGGCGGCUCUCUGGGCCGGUACCGACGCUGAGGAGCGAAAGCGUGGGGAGCAAACAGGAUUAGAUACCCUGGUAGUCCACGCCGUAAACGUUGGGCACUAGGUGUGGCGGGUUCAUCAAUGCCUGCCGCGCCGUAGCUAACGCAUUAAGUGCCCCGCCUGGGGAGUACGGUCGCAAGGCUAAAACUCAAAGGAAUUGACGG
rnacentral:rRNA from 1 species